UACGUAGGGUGCAAGCGUUAAUCGGAAUUACUGGGCGUGAAGCGUGCGCAGGCGGUGAUGUAAGACAGAUGUGAAAUCCCCGGGCUCAACCUGGGAACUGCAUUUGUGACUGCAUCGCUGGAGUGCGGCAGAGGGGGAUGGAAUUCCGCGUGUAGCAGUGAAAUGCGUAGAUAUGCGGAGGAACACCGAUGGCGAAGGCAAUCCCCUAGGCCUGCACUGACGCUCAUGCACGAAAGCGUGGGGAGCAAACAGG
rnacentral:rRNA from 1 species